rnacentral:rRNA from 1 species
UACGGAGGGGGCGAGCGUUGUCCGAAGUUACUGGGCGUAAAGGGCGCGUAGGCGGUUGGCCAAGUCCGCUGUGAAAGCCUGAGGCUCAACCUCAGCGGGUCGGUGGAGACUGGUCUUCUUGAAGGUGUCAGGGGGAGAUGGAAUUAUCGGUGUAGCGGUGAAAUGCGUAGAUAUCGAUAGGAACACCAGUGGCGAAGGCGGUCUCCUGGGGCAUUCUUGACGCUGAGGCGCGAAAGCUGGGGGAGCGAACGGG